rnacentral:sRNA from 1 species
UUUCUUUUAUUUUGUGAUACUAGGUAGAAUCUCGAACGUAAUAGAUUUAUGUGAUCUCUAAUUAGGUGACGAUUGUCUUUUUUUUUUCUCAUCUAUGUUAACUAAUUUUCAUUUUUGUUUCCUCUUAUAUUCGUACAAAUUCUAACCAUACUAGAUACUUUAUGUUUGUUACAUAUACAAAUAAAAUGUCCAUAACUUUGCUUAGUGUUGUGGAUCUAAACCA